GUCGGCGAAAAAGAUCGCCUUAAGCGGCA
rnacentral:sRNA from 1 species